GGAAAAGUUAUAAAAUGGUGAUUUCAAAAGAUAUGAGAAGAAAGAUGAUGGUCAAGAACAUAGAUUUAGAAAGGAAUGUUAAUCCCAGAAAUCCAAUGAGAGAGCAUGGAAGCAGACAAGACAGACAAAAUAUAUGGGAAAAGGUGGAAGGAAAAUUGAAUUGGAGCCUUUAUGAUCAGUAGCAGAGGAGGUUUAUUUCUUUAGAAACUUCGAGCCCUUAAAAAGAUGGAGAGAAUGAAAAGAGAAAAGACUAGACAUGUGCAAUUCGUUUCACUCAGAAUGUAAAUUCAGACAAAUUGCAGAAUUUCCGAAGUGCUAAACCAAAUUGCCGAAGUUAAAAUUUCGGAACUGCCAAAGUGCUUUGGAUUUC